rnacentral:rRNA from 1 species
CCUACGGGGGGCAGCAGUAGGGAAUCUUUCACAAUGGGCGAAAGCCUGAUGGAGCAACGCCGCGUGCAGGAUGAAGGCCUUCGGGUUGUAAACUGCUUUUAUAAGCGAGAAAUAUGAUGGUAACUUAUGAAUAAGGAUCGGCUAACUACGUGCCAGCAGCCGCGGUCAUACGUAGGAUCCGAGCAUUAUCCGGAGUGACUGGGUGUAAAGAGUUGCGUAGGUGGCAUAAUAAGUAGCUAGUGAAAUCUGGUGGCUCAACCAUUCAGACUAUUAGCUAAACUGUUAAGCUCGAGACCGUUAGGGGUAACUGGAAUUUCUAGUGUAGGAGUGAAAUCCGUAGAUAUUAGAAGGAACACCAAUAGCGUAGGCAGGUUGCUGGGACGGUUCUGACACUAAGGCACGAAAGCGUGGGGAGCAAACAGGAUUAGAUACCCCUGUAGUC